rnacentral:rRNA from 1 species
GACGAACGCUGGCGGCGUGCCUAAUACAUGCAAGUCGAGCGGACCAAAGGGAGCUUGCUCCUGGAGGUUAGCGGCGAACGGGUGAGUAACACGUGGGCAACCUGCCUGUAAGGACUGGGAUAACAUCGAGAAAUCGGUGCUAAUACCGGAUAAUAAAAAGAACUGCAUGGUUCUUUUUUGAAAGAUGGUUUCGGCUAUCACUUACAGAUGGGCCCGCGGCGCAUUAGCUAGUUGGUGAGGUAACGGCUCACCAAGGCAACGAUGCGUAGCCGACCUGAGAGGGUGAUCGGCCACACUGGGACUGAGACACGGCCCAGACUCCUACGGGAGGCAGCAGUAGGGAAUCUUCCGCAAUGGACGAAAGUCUGACGGAGCAACGCCGCGUGAGUGAUGAAGGUUUUCGGAUCGUAAAACUCUGUUGUUAGGGAAGAACAAGUG